UACGGGGGGGGCAAGCGUUGUUCGGAGUUACUGGGCGUAAAGGGCUCGUAGGCGGCCAACUAAGUCAGACGUGAAAUCCCUCGGCUUAACCGGGGAACUGCGUCUGAUACUGGAUGGCUGGAGUGUGGGAGAGGGAUGCGGAAUUCCAGGUGUAGCGGUGAAAUGCGUAGAUAUCUGGAGGAACACCGGUGGCGAAGGCGGCAUCCUGGACCAUUACUGACACUGAAAAGCGAAAGCCAGGGGAGCAAACGGG
rnacentral:rRNA from 1 species